rnacentral:rRNA from 1 species
GUGGGGAAUAUUGGACAAUGGGCGAAAGCCUGAUCCAGCAAUGUCGCGUGAGUGAUGAAGGCCUUAGGGUUGUAAAGCUCUUUUACCAGGGAUGAUAAUGACAGUACCUGGAGAAUAAGCUCCGGCUAACUCCGUGCCAGCAGCCGCGGUAAUACGGAGGGAGCUAGCGUUGUUCGGAAUUACUGGGCGUAAAGCGCACGUAGGCGGUUACUCAAGUCAGAGGUGAAAGACCGGGGCUCAACCCCGGAACUGCCUUUGAAACUAGGUAACUAGAAUCUUGGAGAGGUCCGUGGAAUUCCGGGUGUAGAGGUGAAAUUCGUAGAUAUUCGGAAGAACACCAGUGGCGAAGGCGACUGACUGGACAAGUAUUGACGCUGAGGUGCGAAAGCGUGGGGAGCAAACAGGAUUAGAUACCCCGGUAGUCC